rnacentral:lncRNA from 1 species
CUGGCGUUCCCAGUGUUCAGAGGAACUCAUGUACGUCUCACAUUAAUAAGGGGCCUUGGUGAUGAUGUCAGUUGGCCACUCCGCUGCUGGGCGUUGUGUUAGAGUUCCAGAACGCCGUUAAAAGCAAGAAAAAGCAGGCCCAUUUUCAGGGGUUAAAAAAAAUUAUUUCUGGCCACCCCUGAGCACUGGAGAAAUUGAGAACAGCUGGAUCUAAAGUGAACAAAUGGGCUAUCUCAACCUUUUAGCACUGGCCUCUGCACAGAGCCCUGUUCCUUCCCUUCUGAAUCCUCUGGCUCCUUGAAGCCAAUGGAGUAGUCGUGUGAAAAAGAUGAGCAUCUCGUUGCUGUGCUGAUUAUGCCACUGGUGGCUGGUGGCUGAUAAAUACUGCAUGAUGUACUACCCUGAUUUAUAAAGGGACCAAAGAAAAUGCACUCGCCAGGGUACCAAGCCUUAUGAGACUCAUACAGACAGCUAGCUACUACGGUAAUGUAAUGAACUUCCCAA